rnacentral:rRNA from 1 species
GGAACCGUGAGACAGGUGCUGCAUGGCUGUCGUCAGCUCGUGUUGUGAAAUGUUGGGUUAAGUCCCGCAACGAGCGCAACCCUUAUCCUUUGUUGCCAGCGGUCCGGCCGGGAACUCAAAGGAGACUGCCAGUGAUAAACUGGAGGAAGGUGGGGAUGACGUCAAGUCAUCAUGGCCCUUACGACCAGGGCUACACACGUGCUACAAUGGCGCAUACAAAGAGAAGCGACCUCGCGAGAGCAAGCGGACCUCAUAAAGUGCGUCGUAGUCCGGAUUGGAGUCUGCAACUCGACUCCAUGAAGUCGGAAUCGCUAGUAAUCGUGGAUCAGAAUGCCACGGUGAAUACGUUCCCGGGCCUUGUACACACCGCCCGUCACACCAUGGGAGUGGGUUGCAAAAGAAGUAGGUAGCUUAACCUUCGGGAGGGCGCUUACCACUUUGUGAUUCAUGACUGGGGUGAAGUCGUAACAAGGUAACCGUAGGGGAACCUGCGGUUGGAUCACCUCCUU